rnacentral:lncRNA from 1 species
AUGGAGGAAUUUGUUUAUAUAGAUAAAAAUGUAUAUAUAAAAUUUUUUAUGGCAAUUUUAAAUACAAUAAAAGAUUAUUUAUUAGGUAUUGACAUUUUAAAACUAAUUUUAUGUCUGUGUAUAAUUGUAAGUAUAAUAUAUAUAAAGGGUAAAAAUAAAAAGAAGACGAAAAUUAAUGUAUAUUUACAAUUGAAUGGAGAAUCGGUAUAUAAAAAUGAAGAAACAGUAAAUACAGAUAUAGAAAAAAAUAAAUCAGUUGAUAUGAAUGAUAAAGAAGUGGUAUUAACAGAAACGGUGACUACUACCUCAACAGAUAUGACAAAAAAAUUAUGUUUGAACAAAAGUGAAAACAUCGAAAAUGUCCCAUAUUCUAUUGACUUCUAUCACAUAACAUACAGCCCACAUAUGUUUGACAUUAAAAUUAUAAGUAGUGUAGAAUUAUGUAACGUUUGUAACGAAUAUAUUUAUGCAUUUAUUUUUAAUAAACAGAAUAUUUUUGAAUGUAUUAUAUGUCGAAAUAAAUGUCACAUAGAAUGUGCUCCUAAUUCUAAUUUGAUGAGUUGCAAAAAUUGUAUAUUUUAUAAAAAUAAACAUAAAUAUAUAAAAAUUAUUAAUUGUCCAUGGAAUGAGAAAUGUAAUAUUUGUAAUAAACAAAUUUCUCGCUUCCCCUUUUCAUUUUUUGUAAAAAAAUAUAUUUAUAAAUGUAUAUGGUGUAAUAAAUAUUUUCAUGUGAAGUGUGUUGCUAUGGUUGGUUACAUGAAUACAGCAACAAAGGAAACAAAAAAAAGAAAUGGGUACAUAAAAAGUGUAAACAACAACGCAAACAGCAAUAACAACAAUGUUAACAAUAAAUUAAAAAAAAACAUUGCGUGUACAUAUGGAAAUAAUAAAUAUAUAUUAUAUCCAUAUAACGUAUUUCUUAAAAAAAGUAAACUAGAGGAAAUUUUAAUAAAAUCAUAUAAUAAAGUAAAUGAAUCAGAGAUAAAGGGGAGUGACAUUUGUUUGAGUUAUGAUUUAACAAGAGGCGAUAUAGGAUCUGUGGGAAGUAGUCGUACUGCUAGUAAUAGGAGUACCAAUCGUGGUAGUAACCACAGUAGUACCUGUAGUAGUAGCAACCACAACAAUAAUAAUAACAAAAGUCAUGGACAAGCUCAAGAAGUAGAAAACAAAAAAAAAGUAAAAAAAAAUAUCAAAAAAAAUAAAACCCCGAAUGAACUACUUUAUUUUAACUAUCUAAAAGCUUUUUACAAGUACAACAAAUUUACAAACUCAAAGAAGUUUGUAAAAAAUUGUGACAGUGAUCAAAAUAGUUAUAAUAAUAAAAAAAAGAAGAAGAAAAAAAAAAAAAAAAAGAAACAAACACUUCCUGUACAUGUUAAUUUUUUAUUAAAUUUUGUUCCUAUGUAUUUACCAAUAUAUGAAAUAAAAAGUGAUAAUAAAAUUUUGUUUGUUUUUGUUAAUAUAAAAAGUGGUGGACAAGCAGGUAAAAAUUUAUAUCAAGAGUUAUUACAGUAUUUUAAUCCGAUACAAAUAGUGAAUAUACAAAGUGAAGCAAAUGUUUUAAAUUCACUUGAGAUGUUUAAAGAAAUGAUUUAUUUAAAAAAAAUAAUAUUUUUAAUAUGUGGAGGAGAUGGAACCAUAAGUAUUUUUGUUAAUACAUUAAUCAAAUUUAUUUUAAAAGUAUUUUUACAACUGGAUACACAACAACAAAUGGUAACAUCUUACAACAUAUCUGAAAGAAAUAACAAAAAAUUGAUCAAACAGGAAACACGUUUUAUUAGUACAAAUAAAUUCAUCUUAAAUGAUAAAAAUCAAAGGGUACAGGAACAGGAACAGGAACAGGAACAGGAACAUGAACAUGAACAAGAACAUGAACAAGAAACUAUAAGAAGUAACAGUUUGGGAUAUUUCACUACAACUGCUGUUACUGUUGUUAAGAGUGAUACUAACAAAGCAGACAUUCUUGUUAGUAAUGUUAAUAACAACGAUAAUAGUAAUAACAAUACCGCUUUUAAGAUCAAUGACACAUGUAAUGAUAAAACAGUAACAACUGUUAACAUCGACACAAUUAUAAAUUCUGAGUCGAAUAAUUGUCCGAAUCAUUGUAUAAAUAGUAGUAAUAUAAACUAUUGUUAUGGAAAUGAUUCUGAAAAAAUAGAAAAAGAACAACACCUCAUACCACAUGUAACACAAAAUCUUCAGAAUAAUUCAUCUAAUAAAAAAUGGUUUGUAUUUAAAAAUAAAAAAAAUAAAAAAGAGAUAUAUAAUUGUAAUUCAACACAUAUUAUCAAUGAAGAAAUAGAUAAAACUACUAAUAGUUGUGAUAAAAAAUCAUCAUCACUAUCUAGGUGUGUAAUGACAACUAAUUAUAAACAAACACUAAAUGUUACCCCUUUAACAAGUGUCCAACAAUCAUCUGUUCAAAACGGAUGUAUACACAGCAAUAAUAAUCCAAAAUUAAGAAAUAAUGAAAAAGAUAUGAAUAGUAAUGAUAAUAAUAUAAAAACAAAUUGUUACAAUAAUAAUAAUGUUACUGUGAAUGACAAUUAUAAGAAUAACCUUUGUAAUAAUAUUGUUGAAGUAGGAAAAAAUAAUCGUAAUAUAAAAUCUAAUUGUGAUGGGUUGUAUAAUAACGGUAAUGGAAACAGUGUCAAUAUAACAAACAAACAUACAGAUGUAGAAUCAUUUCAAAUAAACGAAGAUAAAGUAUAUAAAAAUGAUGAUAUAGUUUACGAAUUUGAGAAUGGAUAUAAAAUAAUUACAACAAGAGAUGACGAAUAUAAUAAUAUGAUAAAGAUUAAUAAAAAUGGAAUUGUAAACGAUGGUAUAAAUUGCGACAUAAGUAACAUGUGUGAUGAAAACAAAGAAGCGAACAAAGAAGCGAACAAAGAAGCGAACAAAGAAGCGGAGAAAGAAGCGGAGAAAGAAGCGGAGAAAGAAGCGGANNNNNNNNNNCGGAGAAAGAAGCGGAGAAAGAAGCGGAGAAAGAAGCGGAGAAAGAAAUUAUGCUCGAAUCACUUAUUUCAAGUAUACCUAUAG